rnacentral:rRNA from 1 species
GAUGAACGCUAGCUACAGGCUUAACACAUGCAAGUCGAGGGGAAACGGCAUUGAGUGCUUGCACUCUUUGGACGUCGACCGGCGCACGGGUGAGUAACGCGUAUCCAACCUUCCCAUUACUGUGGGAUAACCUGCCGAAAUGCAGACUAAUACCGCAUAGUCUUCGAUGACGGCAUCAGAUUUGAAGUAAAGAUUUAUCGGUAAUGGAUGGGGAUGCGUCUGAUUAGCUUGUUGGCGGGGUAACGGCCCACCAAGGCGACGAUCAGUAGGGGUUCUGAGAGGAAGGUCCCCCACAUUGGAACUGAGACACGGUCCAAACGCCUACGGGAGGAAGCAGUGAGGAAUAUUGGUCAAUGGACGGAAGUCUGAACCAGCCAAGUAGCGUGCAGGAUGACGGCCCUAUGGGUUGUAAACUGCUUUUGUAUGGGGAGAAAGUUAGGGACGUGUCCCUAUUUGCAGGUACCAUACGAAUAAGGACCGGCUAAUUCCGUG